GCCUGCGGACAUACCAGUCUGAAAGUGCCUGAUCUCGUCAGAUUUCAGAAGCCAUCCAGACUCGGGCCUGAUUAAAAUGUGCUGCGACGGCUUGUGGGGUUUGCAGUGA